GAAACCUUCAUCUCUUACCCUCUCAUUUACGGCUCAAACAACCCGCAAGAACACCACCAUAAUUCAUCCAUAAACAUUCCAUUUUCACCUAAAUUAAGCCUAUACAAGACCAUCUAAGCAUCACUUAUACAUGAAGCAUCACUAGGGCUUUGGUUGGAGCUUAAUUUUCUUCUUAAUCAUCUUUUAAGCUUGUGCAAAGUUGUUGACUCGCGUUUACGGAACACGCUGAUUGAAUAUCUCUCUCUCAGGAACGCAAAGCUGAAACAAGAUGGAUCUUGGGCACGGGUGUUGUUUUCAAGAUGUAAAUUUCAAGUUUAGAUGUCAUCCACUUUUGUUGGUUUGUAACUUAACCGGAGGUCAUGUUGAUUGAAACUUAAAUGA